rnacentral:snRNA from 1 species
AGCAUAGAGAUCCUUUUU